GGGCNNGGNNCUAAUACUGCAAGUCGAACGAGCUUCCGUUGAAUGACGUGCUUGCACUGAUUUCAACAAUGAAGCGAGUGGCGAACUGGUGAGUAACACGUGGGGAAUCUGCCCAGAAGCAGGGGAUAACACUUGGAAACAGGUGCUAAUACCGUAUAACAACAAAAUCCGCAUGGAUUUUGUUUGAAAGGUGGCUUCGGCUAUCACUUCUGGAUGAUCCCGCGGCGUAUUAGUUAGUUGGUGAGGUAAAGGCCCACCAAGACGAUGAUACGUAGCCGACCUGAGAGGGUAAUCGGCCACAUUGGGACUGAGACACGGCCCAAACUCCUACGGGAGGCAGCAGUAGGGAAUCUUCCACAAUGGACGAAAGUCUGAUGGAGCAAUGCCGCGUGAGUGAAGAAGGGUUUCGGCUCGUAAAACUCUGUUGUUAAAGAAGAACACCUUUGAGAGUAACUGUUCAAGGGUUGACGGUAUUUAACCAGAAAGCCACGGCUAACUACGUGCCAGCAGCCGCGGUAAUACGUAGGUGGCAAGCGUUGUCCGGAUUUAUUGGGCGUAAAGCGAGCGCAGGCGGUUUUUUAAGUCUGAUGUGAAAGCCUUCGGCUUAACCGGAGAAGUGCAUCGGAAACUGGGAGACUUGAGUGCAGAAGAGGACAGUGGAACUCCAUGUGUAGCGGUGGAAUGCGUAGAUAUAUGGAAGAACACCAGUGGCGAAGGCGGCUGUCUAGUCUGUAACUGACGCUGAGGCUCGAAAGCAUGGGUAGCGAACAGAUUAGAACCCCCNGGNGGAAAAA
rnacentral:rRNA from 1 species